rnacentral:lncRNA from 1 species
CACUGAACCAUGGAAAUGAGGUCAAGGUCAGAUGACACCUGCCAGUUUGACAUGUACACCUUACAGUCCUUCCGUACAACGAAUAUACUGGACCUAUUGCUUAUAGUACAUGUAGUAUCUGAGAUAUGGACUUGACCACCAAAACUUAACCUUGUUCACUGAUCCAUGCAAUGAGGUCGAGGUCAAGUGAAAACUGUCUAAC